CCUACGGGUGGCAGCAGUGGGGAAUAUUGGACAAUGGGGGGAACCCUGAUCCAGCGACGCCGCGUGAGUGAAGAAGUAUUUCGGUAUGUAAAGCUCUAUCAGCAGGGAAGAAAGAAAUGACGGUACCUGACUAAGAAGCCCCGGCUAACUACGUGCCAGCAGCCGCGGUAAUACGUAGGGGGCAAGCGUUAUCCGGAUUUACUGGGUGUAAAGGGAGCGUAGACGGCGAUGCAAGUCUGAAGUGAAAGGCGGGGGCCCAACCCCCGGACUGCUUUGGAAACUGUAUGGCUGGAGUGCAGGGGAGGAGAGUGGAAUUCCUAGUGUAGCGGUGAAAUGCGUAGAUAUUAGGAGGAACACCAGUUGCGAAGGCGGCUCUCUGGACUGUAACUGACACUGAGGCACGAAAGCGUGGGGAGCAAACAGGAUUAGAUACCCCUGUAGUC
rnacentral:rRNA from 1 species